UACGUAGGUGGCAAGCGUUGUCCGGAUUUACUGGGCGUAAAGAGCGCGCAGGCGGUCGUUCAAGUCGCGUGUGAAAGCCCCCGGCUCAACUGGGGAGGGUCACGCGAUACUGAUCGACUCGAAGGCAGGAGAGGGAAGUGGAAUUCCCGGUGUAGUGGUGAAAUGCGUAGAUAUCGGGAGGAACACCAGUGGCGAAGGCGACUUCCUGGCCUAUUCUUGACGCUGAGGCGCGAAAGCUAGGGGAGCAAACGGG
rnacentral:rRNA from 1 species